rnacentral:rRNA from 1 species
UGGGGAAUAUUGGACAAUGGGCGGAAGCCUGAUCCAGCAACGCCGCGUGAGGGAUGACGGCCUUCGGGUUGUAAACCUCUUUCAGCACAGACGAAGCGCAAGUGACAGUAUGUGCAGAAGAAGGACCGGCCAACUACGUGCCAGCAGCCGCGGUAAUACGUAGGGUCCGAGCGUUGUCCGGAAUUAUUGGGCGUAAAGGGCUCGUAGGCGGUUUGUCGCGUCGGGAGUGAAAACACCGGGCUUAACUCGGUGCUUGCUUUCGAUACGGGCAGACUAGAGGUAUUCAGGGGAGAACGGAAUUCCUGGUGUAGCGGUGAAAUGCGCAGAUAUCAGGAGGAACACCGGUGGCGAAGGCGGUUCUCUGGGAAUAUCCUGACGCUGAGGAGCGAAAGUGUGGGGAGCGAACAGGAUUAGAUACCCUGGUAGUCCACACCGUAAACGUUGGGCGCUAGGUGUGGGGUCCAUUCCACGGAUUCCGUGCCGCAGCUAACGCAUUAAGCGCCCCGCCUGGGGAGUACGGCC